rnacentral:misc_RNA from 1 species
UUUGCAUUUAUAAUGGACCGAAGUUAAAAUAAAAUUUGACAUAUUCAUGUACUUUGUGGAACAGAUAAAAUAAAAUAGAAUAAUCGCCAGAGACCAAGGUAUUAUUAGCAUUACAUUAUAUAGAUAUUGAAUAACAAUGCAACACUCUUUUACAAUCUUAUUUAUGUAAGUACACCCGUGCACAUAAUUCUAGUUUUCCAAUUGAUGCAAAUCGACUCUUCUCUCUGUUUCAUUGAGACAAAUCUAGUUAGGCACAGGAACCUCAGUAGUAGUAAUCAUUUCCUUCCCUUCAACCUUCUCUUCUAAAUCUUUACCAUUAGAGACAGCAACAGAAGGCUCAUCAGCAGGAGGAAGCAAUCCCUUUGCUCGGCAGGUUUCCACAGCUCCUACGAACAUAUCUUCCAAGCUGUACUGGAACUGAAAACCCAGGUCUGUAAGCUUCUUGGAAGAGAAAAUGGGAGUCUUUAUAUCCUCCUCCAUGCCUUUAAGCUUGAUAGGAAUAUUAUACUCUGGGUAUUUUUGUCUAAGCAAUUCUGCAAGCUCAUGAAUGGUGGCAUCGUGCGAGUUGCAGAUGUACCUCCCCUCAGCUUUUGGAUGCUCAAACAGAAAAAUGUGAGAAAUGCAGAGAUCAUCCAAGUGUACGUAAUGGCCUUGUUUUAUAAUCGAAUAAUGGGCUUCAUUUCCAGUGAUAAGCGAAAGUGCAGUUAUAAGGCUAGGCGGCAUUGAUGGCAUUAUAAAUGGGCCAACAACUAGAGUUGGGAUAAUACUGAUAAAAUCAAGGUUGUUCUCUUCAGCGAACUUCCAUGCAGCUUUCUCUGCCAGGGUCUUUGAGACGAAAUACAUCCAUCCAGUCAUCUUUGUUGCUUGAACGAAUUCCAAAUCACUCCAGCAAUUUUCGUCAUACACUUGUUUUCUGUGCUCCUCAACGUCCACAGUUCCUGCAGAUGAAGUGAAUACUAUCCUUCGAACAGUUUUUGCCUUUGCACAUGCCUUCAUGAUGUCCAAAACCCCAUUGAUCGUUGGUUUUAUAACUUCAUUCUCAGGGUCCUUGGACUCGAAAUCCAUGGGUGUAGCAACAUGGAAAACACCAGAGCACCCUUGAAUGGCCUCAUCAAAACUUCCCUCUAUAGAGAGGUCAGCUUUCCACAAGCUCAAGUGGGUCUUAGCCUUAGGCAACUCUAACAAAUGUUGAACUUUUUUCACAUUAUCAGGGUCUCGCACAGUGGCUCGAACAGUAUAGCCACGCUCGAGGAGUCUCAUGAUCAGCCAUGAGCCGAUGAACCCAGAAGCACCAGUCACACAAACGGUUUGGCUUUUUGUUCCCAUGAGAUUAAUUUUUUAAAAACCUAAUCUGAAAUCCGAAUGAUUAUACUAUAAUAAAACGGUAACAACCGAUAAACAACAAUGGAUGGUUCCGGCAGUUAAGCUUUGUCUUGGCUCAAUUUAUAGACCAAGAACAAGAAGAACUCUCUUCAUCUAAAUUUUUAGCUCAACUUUAUCGUAACGUGAUCAUCCACCGAUUCUUCCUUCUUGACCGGUGGAUGAUGCUUCCUCUUCCUCACCUGCCCUCCAAUUUGUCUAGUGUGUAAAAAACGCAAGUCAAAGACCGAGAAGAAGAUAGAGUCGGUUAGAGAAGGAAUUAAAUUAUGUACUCUUUUCCAA